UACGGGAGGCAGCAGUGGGGAAUUUUGGACAAUGGGCGCAAGCCUGAUCCAGCCAUGCCGCGUGUGGGAAGAAGGCCUUCGGGUUGUAAACCACUUUUGUCAGGGAAGAAACGGCUCUUACUAAUAUUAGGGGCUAAUGACGGUACCUGAAGAAUAAGCACCGGCUAACUACGUGCCAGCAGCCGCGGUAAU
rnacentral:rRNA from 1 species